AUUCUUCUAGCUGUUCAUGUAUUCUCUUACUCAUCAUUGAUGGGGAGGUCCUUCUGUGUAUAUGAUUGUCUUAUUGGUUAAUAAAUAAAGUACUGUUGGCCAAUAGGAAAACAAGAUAGGUGGGGCUAGGAGUCAAGGAGGAUUCUGGGAAAGGUAGGAGAAAGCGCAGAGUCACCACGUUAUCCCGGGAAGACAGGAUGCUUCUGCUGGCAUCCAAUAAGAUAAGUUUUAUAAAAUAUAUAGAUUUAUGAUAAUUAAGACUGAGCUAGCAGAUGAGAAAUCCUAGUCACUGGCCAAGCAGCAUUUGUACAAAAUAUAAGUCUCUGUGUGUGACUUGGGACCUUAAUGUGGUGGCGGGCGGAACUUGGGCGACCUGGUGGAAAGCACCCACGUGGCAGCAGGGCUCGGGUGGCUUGGUGGAAAGACUUAUUGUUACACAUCAUCUCUACAUUCCAACAAUCAUCUAGUUGUUCACUGAUAUGUGCAUGCAAACCACAUCCCAUACAUUUGCUAGGUCGUCUCUCUCCAUUCUUUGAUUCAUAAUCCAGUCAUUGCCCAGGUGCACAGUCAUCCAUCUAUCCGCCUACGCAUCCACUCUUUAUUUUGUCGUUCAUAUGCCCCCCAUUGUACAUCUGUAUCAUCCGUUCUCACUCAUCCAAUCCCACCUUAGUAGUGACGAGAGCAUAAACAAAAGUACUGUGCUGUUUGUCUCAGAAAGGCAGAGCACAUACAGUUAUAUGCAGUUUAUAACAGUUGAUAGUUAUAUUAUCAAGUGUGUUAUUAGUUGUGCUGGUUACUUCUCGUUGCUCUGACCAAAUACCCAAGAGAAAAGCAACUGAAAGGAAGAAAGUUAUACCUAGGCUCGUUGCCGUGACCUGCACAGCUUAGGGAGUGACUGCAUCUAAGAACAAAGCCAGGCACACAGUCUGUACCUUUAAAAUAUUGAUUGUUAUUAUACACAUUAUAGAAUCAUCUAUGUGCCGGGCUGUGCGCUGUGUCUCCAGGACACAAACCUGAAGGACUCAUGCGACGUCAUGAGGAAAGCAUGUUAUACUGCAUGCUUAUCCAUCUUGAGCCUCUGGGCAGACAAAGGGCAGAAGGGACCGGUUCUUACUGGCAGUGAGAUUGCCAUUCCCAUCAGGCCAAGGAGGAGGCAGUCUUGCAGAAGAUAUGGGAACAACAUUAAAAAUAGAGAAGAGAGAGGUUAAAGACUCAGCAGAGAGCGGGCAUACAGUGUGAGAAUGCUGAGCUGUGGGGUAUAGUGAGGGCUGUUGUGCAAUAUUUGAUCUCACUCUGACACUCCCGAGGCUUCCAAUAAAGUUUACUUUGAAUCAGAAGGUGGAGCUAGCUACUAGCUGACCAAAAUUAGCCAUAGAGGUUUUGGAGGACAGAGGACCAACAGGAGGUAGUAGGGUGGGGCUUAGACAGACUGGAUUAAGGAGAGAGGGGUGGGGUCACUGGUUGCUUCUCCUUCACUUCUCUCAUCAUUCAGGUUCUUACCCCGAUAUCUGACUCUUGAGUUAUUAUUGAUAAUAAGAUUAUUAGAUAAACGCUUCAGACGGCAAGAUGAGAAAGAGGGAUGGCACGAGGCGCAGACACUGAGGUAUGCUGUGGGCCUAUUCGGGGUCCUUGACAUGGCUGUGCUUGUGUCAAAGAAUGCACAUUUGCUCAGGCCAGAAUUUCAUACACACCCUAUAGCUCAUGAUUGCAGAGGUUUUGACUCAUGGUCAGCUCACUGCAUUGUUCUUUGCUAAUUGUUUGUUUAAGACAAGGCAGAAUCAUCAUGGUUGGGGGGGGUUGCAGCGGUGCUGCUCACCAUGUGGCAGCCAGGAAGCAGGAAGUGCAGUCGUGAGCUUGUGCUAGUGGGCUUCUUCCUCUUUCCAACUGGGCUUCUUCCUCUUUCCAACUUGGUUGCAUCUGGUCCCUAGCCUGUAGGCUGGUGCUGUCUGUGUUCCUGGGGUCCAUCUCUCUUGCUGUCCUGCAUGCCAAUCACCUCAGAAAAUGUCUUUUCGUACACAUCCUGAAGCACGUCUUACUGAUCUUUUGGGAAUUUCUCAAUCCAAUCAAGUUGACGUCACCCUGGUUUAUAUAGUCACUGUACCACAGUUUUCAUCCUUGUGUCAGAGCACAUGGUUUUGGGUUAUUUUUAAAGUGCACUGAACAUCUCAUGUUUACAGCAUCUCUUUGAUUACAUCAUGUGGUCAUAAUGAAGGGACCAGCUUCCCUUUCGGCAGCCAUAACAGCCAAACACGUGCUUGCCAUAAACCUGCCUUGGUCACUUAGAGGUCAGAUGCCUGCCUCGUGACAAGGAACCAAUCAGAAGUUAGCUGGUGGCACUAUGCUUUACGACCCUGGGUGUGCUUUACGGACAAGCGCACAGCAAUGACGCACAGAGCAUAGCAACCACCCUGGGAGGGCCUAUGGGCCAUAACAGCCAGUUGACCAAUCAACACAGGGCAAGCCCUCCAAGGCUGGAGGCACACCAAUCCUGAGCCUGUGCGUACCCCUAGACACUCCCCUUACGCUGCCCUAUAAAGAUCUGUGUGCAGCGGCUUCAAACUGUCUUUUCUAGCCAUCCGCCAUGGCGGGUGGGUGAAAGACCUGAGUUAACAUGGGGUUAGCUCGUUAAAUUACAAUAAAGCCUCGUGCAGUUUGCAUCAAGCUCUCGAAUCCGCCUGGUGAUUGGGGUGACCGCAGUCGUGGCCUGGGACCCCAGAUACUUGAGUUUUCGGGGGUUUAACAAUACUGAGUGGCUGAUCUCCACCAUGUGGGUUUAUAUAAGUCCACACUAGGUCAGUCACACUCGGAGGAAGUCCCCUUAAUGCCAUGUCUUUCGGAACAUGCCCUUACUCUUCAGCUUGCAUGGCUGUGUGCCAUAAAACAAAGACUUUGGGAUUUUCCUGGGCUCUUACCUGGUCUAAGGUGGAGAAGUGUCUGUGAAUUUCCCACUGUGUUGGGUGAAGAGGACUGUGCCCUUCGUAUGCUUCUGGUGUCCUUUUCACCGCCUGGUUCCUGCAUAUUUCACCAUUGGUUUUUCUCGUCACUGACUUGGGUAGAACCUGAUCUCUGCUUCAGAGCUGUGAUACUCUCACUCCUUGUGGAUUGCUGCAAUGUCUCGAUAGCUCCUCCACCUCUACGCUCAAGAGCGCCCAUCAUUGCUUUGCUCUGUUUCUGGAGUAAGAUGCAGGAGGAGUAGAGAAUAUUCCAGAUGCUGGAACAGAGGCAUGGAGAGACAUCAUGUCUUGGGCUGGGUUUCCCAAGAGUCGGACAUUAAAAGGAGUCUGAGAAGGGAAGAGCUGCUCUGUGGAGGUCUCCCAGGUCAAAAGGGCUCGGUCACUGAGGAGCAAGCUGGGGCUGCUGCUGAAUGUGCCUUGGAGUUUUGGAACGAGAACAAUAAAAAUAAGCGUGUUAUGCCGACUCUUGUUUCGUUCACCAGCUGAGGUUUCCUGGGGCAGAGUUCUUGAGGGCAGGGUUGAGUUGUUGAGUGUGGGGAAGGCGUUCUUGUUUGGAAGUUCAAGCUGCUACACACACACACACACUAGGGGGAAAGAGGGGUGUUCUGUAGGUCUGGAGGAGACUGAGUAUCCAUUCUAGCCUGUGCUCAUCACCAUUGAUCCCAUGGUCACCUCUAUUUUGAAAACUGUUUGGGGGGCUGGCUGUCAGGGCUCUGUGGUUUGGCAGAAGU
ensembl:lncRNA